UACGAAGGGGGCUAGCGUUGUUCGGAAUUACUGGGCGUAAAGGGCGCGUAGGCGGCGUGUCAAGUCAGGCGUGAAAGCCCCGGGCUCAACCUGGGAACCGCGCUUGAGACUGGCAUGCUCGAGUUCGGGAGAGGAUGGUGGAAUUCCAGUGUAGAGGUGAAAUUCGUAGAUAUUGGGAAGAACACCGAUGGCGAAGGCAGCCAUCUGGACCGACACUGACGCUGAGGCGGCGAAAGCGUGGGGAG
rnacentral:rRNA from 1 species